rnacentral:lncRNA from 1 species
CGUGUCCCAGCGAGAUGUGGGCGUGUCGGAGUCAGUAGUCGGCCGGAAAGAGAUCUCUUCAAGGCGUUGCCAUGAUGUGUGUCGUCACUGAUAUUUCCGCCAUUCUCCGCCCAUCGAAAACAAGGUUUCGUUUCCUUGUUGAAGCGACACCAUCCUUCACAAAUAUAUCAUUUAAUCAGAACGAUAAGCAAGAAUGGUAUAUUCCACCUUGCAAACUUCCCCUGCCAUAUCAUGUAUAUGGAAAGACCUUUGGAGUUGAGCAAACUUUUCUCAAGGAUUUGAAAACACAGCUUGGCAUUGAAAAAAUUGAGCUUCAAGCAGAACACGUGAAAUCUCCUCCUAUGAAAAAAGAUCUGCCUCUCCUCUUGUUCUGUGUCAAUGCAACACGCAUUGGCACUGACGCUGAGGCUGCACUUCAGUUGUUUCCCGAUCAUCAAGCAAUCCUGGUCGUGAUGAACCACCGCCCUCCACAGGUCUUCAAAUCAGAUCCCCACAGUGCCACCCACGUAUCACGAAGCAACAUUUUGAAUGUAAUUGACUGUUUUUUCUUUCAGUCAAACGGACUAUACAGCUGUGAGCAAAACAAGAAAGCUACAAGGGACGUAGCAAAUAUCAUCAGUAACUUUCUUGCAAAUAUGUACCAAUUUCUUUUAGAUUAAAAUUAAAAAUUGAGAUCUUGUAAUAGAAAUACGUUUUGUUUUGCUUUGUUGAUACUUGUCGUUCAUAACAAAGGCUAAAAUUGGAAGUGCUUCCAUAAACAAAAUUUUGAAUUCUACAACUUAGUCAAAACAAAUAAUUAUUUUGCAGCUUGUGUGUUAUCCACUUAAGCAAAUUUUUAUCGAUACAUUUUGUAACUCUGACAUUCUUUUUGCUUUCCAUAAACCUUUCGACAAAACAUUUUCUAAGUUUGGAUGGAAACGUACUGUUGCGGUUCUGCAAAAACCGCCAUGCCUCCAAGGCAAUGGCGCACAACAAACAGUGAUCCCAAGGCAGUUAUUUCAAUAGUAUGUGUAUUAUUUAUCCUUUCCAAAUGUCUAGUGGGUAAAGGAGAAAGAUGCAUUGCAUGGGACUCCUUCAAUUAGACUUCUUUGACCUUCAAUCUUUACAUUCUUUCACCCUGACUUGUGUGGGACUCCUUCAGUUAGACUUCUUAGUCCUCUUUAAUCUUCAAACCUUGCAGUUGUUCCACACAUUUGCUACACCCCUUUCUUGCACACAAAACACGCAAGCAAAUCAGUAGAGACUAAAAGUAGCCAUGCAAGCGUGCCGCGAGUGCCUCAUUUGCAUUUGUGCCCCAAUUUUCCAUUCAAAACUGCAUGCCAAUUCUCAACUGCCAUUUCACGUCGGACCUUUUAUUCUGCUCAACAAAUUAUACCACGCUCACCACAACCACUUUAUACGACUACUAAAAAAUCCCCGCAACAACCCACGCUUACAUUUUCCUUCACAAUCUCACUCCAAGGAACAUCAACCUCUUCCCCACAAUGCCAUGUUACAAUCCUACCUCAUUACAAAUGUCACAAUGUGCUCCUGCAACUCUACAACUGUCUCAACUGCCACAUACUCAUCCUACACUCACCACAGCCUUGAGGGACACUGAGGAGACAAAGUUCGGUAUAUUUUGGGGCAUAACUUGAAGCAAGAACGUGUGCUGGAGCUCGUUUAAGGACCUACAGGUAGUGCAGGGAUUUCCCUAAAAUCAUACAUUUGAAUAUCAUGUAUAUGGAAAGACCAGCGCACGUUCGGGUCCAGAGAGCACCUCCAAAAACCAUGGCUCCAUGUAAAGGUUGGAGCUGUUACUCGUGGUCCUGUUAGCGAGCGACUGAGCCGUUUUUCACCUUCGGGGCCUGGCGGGGCAUUGCUAUGACCACGACGGACCAAUAGGGAAGCUCAAUUUUAUUAAGAGACUCUUUUUAUCCGAUGUUUGGCUCCUCCCCUCAUCCGUGGCUCAUAAACGGAAUGGACGUGGCUCAUUUCGAGAGAAUAUCGCCAGGUCGCAGCAGUAUCAAUGGGGACACAGCUGGAGAGUAUCUCCGGGGACAGAGCUGAGCUGAAGACGCUGUCGUGGCAGUUUUGGCCACAUUAAGACAGAAAACCCUGCAGUUCAAUUUAAGCUGUUUAUUCAGUAGUGAAUAUCAGACAGAAUCGUGUGAGGAAGCCUAGCCUGGAGCAAUAUCUUAGGCAGAAACUUAACUUUUACAUAGGAUAUAGC